rnacentral:lncRNA from 1 species
UGACACAUAACGGCUGGCUUUUAGUCCUCUAAAAAACACAAACCAAAAGAGGAAGAAAGAAAGAGAAGCCUUUGCCAAGCGCUCUCCUGUGAAGGAGAAAUCCCGGCGAUUCGGGAGGAACAGUUGGUGCGGAGGAAGGUAGGAGGCCCACCCGGUGGAGAACCCUCCCCAGAACAACACGAGUGGAGAUGGAGAUGUGUCUAACAGGAGGUGGAACAAUGCUGGGCGGGCACCCCUGGACGAGUCACGGCUGGCCUGAGAAACGGCCCCCUGGACGCAGAAUGCAGCUCUUUGUGGAAGGAAGGAUAGAGGGAGACCAGCUGCACAGGCGCAGACGAGACGGCCUGGCCUCUGGGGUGCCCUCCAUGGGGACCGCUCACCACACGAGCGACUCCCCCCAUCGAGAGCGGCGGGAGCGGGCGCGGUACCCUUCCCAGCUCCGUCUGUGGUCUUGACACAGCACCAGCUACACAUCAUUUUUAAUUCAACCCAAAUCGCCCGUAUGGAGGAGCCGGGGAGCCCGGCCCGGACGAGGGAGUCAUCAGACAGGACACCCUCCACAUCGCGAGGACAAAGCCAUUUAAUGGCUUCCCUCGUCUGGGAGCGUUGCUUGUCCUGGCUGUUGAUCCUCGCGGUAACGAGGCCUGUGAUGGAGCGACUAGGAGGCUGAGCGUGGGUUUGGUGAGCACGCUCUCAGGCACCACUUGGCAGAGGGGCCCCAGCGGCCGUGGAGGAGAAGCACCGUCGCUGCCGGCUCCUGGCCUCUUCUGUUCCCUGGCUGCGUGAGGGACAAAGGUGCAGGGAGCCUGGGGCCUCCCUGGGGACACUGUCACCGGCAGAGCAGGCGGAGCCCCCCCACCCGCAGAUAUACAGGAGGGCCUGGCCCUGCCCCUGGGCCGAAGAAUCGGGAAGAGAAGAGCCAGGUGGCAGAGACGCUGGGCCGGCUCUUCGCACCCCAGUGUCUGGUGAGUGGAGGCAGGAGGGCCUUCUGUUUCUAGACACGGUGACGUCAGCUCAGGAAACAGAGUCACACGUCUUCCCCUCGUUUCUGGCGAACCAUCCAAUCGCGCACUGACUCCUCCUUGUGGAACAGACACCUGUGCCUUUUGCGUGCUCAGUGUCCAGUGCCCCUUCGCUGGGGGCAGCAGCCCCGCUUUCCUCUACAGAGUCACUCCAGCUUGAAAGGGCCGAGCUUUGGGUGGAGUCGACCCCAUGAUCUGCUUCCAGGGUGGGGCGUAUGGCCUGGGGCUGGCCAAUCAGGACAUUCCACCACCACCCCCAGCCCAGUGAUGAUUCAGGAGAGGGUAUGUGACCCAGCCGGGCAAGGUCAGACACAAUCCUAGGGUCUUUGCUGCAGUUUUUGAGAGAAAGCCUUCCAGGGGCAGCCUCAUGGAGACAGGAAGCAGUCCAAGAGGGGACAGAGCUGAGAGCUGGAGAGACAUUCCUGACAACAUG